UUGUUUUGUUUCACAAUCAUUGCCAAGUAGGUUUAAAUUUAAUUAAUAUUUAGUUUUUUUUUUUGAAUCUUUUUCUUUUUCUUUUUCUUCUUUUAUUUAUGAUUUUUUUUCUACUUCUAUAUGUUAGGCCAUGUGCCUUAUUUCGUUUAAAGCGUUGUAGCUGAUAAACGAGCUAAGAGGGAGAAUACUAUUGUCUAUUUAAACGAACAAAUCAUCAAAGGGAAGUGGUCUUGGAUCCAAUGAACAACUUUAUUGUAGCUCAUGAUGUAUGGGAUCUUCGAUUGUUUAAAAAUUCUCCAUCAUUGUCUCUUUUACGCUUCAUAUUAGGCUAUUUUUCAAAGAAAGUAUCCCAUGUCAAAUUUUAGUGUAAAAAUAUUGGUGGUGUUGUUUAAGGAUAAGCUCGUUAAAGUCAAUGAGGUUUUAACUGCUGGUCAUCAACGACGCCCUAUCAUGGAAACCAUCACUCUAACCCUUGUGCAUCUUGCCCUGCACGGUGAGCAAAUUAAGUUGGAGGUAUAUAAAUACUCUUAAAUCUUAUUGAACAUUUUUUUUCUUAUGAAAAAUAUUCACCAUGUGCUGUUUGGUUUAAUUUUUUUAUGGUAUUACAAAAGCAAAUCUAUGUAGAAGUUGUGUAACAGACAUCAAGUUUUUGGACCGACUUUUCUUUGAUGGGGCUUUGUAUGCUUCUAUUGACCUUUUUAAUUUCACGCAGGCUGGUUUUACGAUCUGUGUUAUUGUUGCUAUUGAUUCCUC